CUCUUUUUGGUGCAGAUGUGAGAGUGGGUAUUCUUACCUCUUCUUUCUUUCUUUUACACAAACCCUACACCUCCUUCUUCUUCUCCUCCACCACUGUCGUCCUCCACAACCACCUUCCCACCGCCACCCUCCAUUUCCGGUACAAGUCUCCCUUUUUCUUUCCCGUUUUGGGGGUUUUCCAACUUGGGGGUUAGGGAUCAUCACUCGAUUCGUGUAUGAUAAGUUCGAUAAUACUUAUCAGGUAACCUAAUUUGAUCUAGCUAUAUGUUGUUAAGCUGUUAAUGAUGGAAAAGUUAUGGAUAUUAUUCACACCUUCGUUCCCUCAAGCAAAAGGGGUUUAGGGUUACCUUCACAUUUCUCUGUUGCUGCCUUUAAUCACGCUCAAUCCAAUAAGUUAUCAGUUAUCCCCACCUGCUCCUACAUCUCUGGGCUUGUUUUCUUCUUCUCACCCAGGGCCCAAAUUUUUUCGAGAAUUAUCGGAGACGGCGUCAACCUGAUUUUCAAAUGUUAUCUAACCUGUUUAAUUUUUCACCAAUGGACUUUCAUGGAUAAUUUGAACAUAUAUAUCAAAGUAUGUGGGCAGGCUUAACCUGAUUCUAUGCAUGUAUUUGUGCCGGUUUUUUCUAAAAAUUCUACAAUGUAUUCCAAUGGAUUUUUGUGGCCAAGUCAAUGACGUAGGACAGAAUCAAAUUGGAACACGCUUUCCUUGUUGUUUUCUACAUGUGAAAAGUCUUAUGAAGUUACAUUUUUGUUGUGUUAUGUUGUUGUGACUCAACAGAUUGAACUCUUGCCCUUGUAUUCAUGAUGUUGUUUUCAUGGUAUUGUGAUGUUUUGGUACUA